AGAAUAGUUGACAGUUGAUUGUGUUUAAAAACUUUAUGUCUAUGGAAGAACUCUGAAAAAUGUUGUUAAUCUAGUGUACUUCAGAGAAAGACUUCCUUAAAGACAAGUUGUUUGGCUUGAAUUAGAGAGUGUCACGGUGGCCAGAUGGAAAGCUCAAUUUACAUUUAAUUUUGUUUUCACUGAUUUAUCAACUAUUCCAUUGACAAAGAGAGGUGUGACUUCACUGAGUGAGAAAAUGCUAUUUUCUGCUCAUAGUUGCAUUAAAAAAAAAAAUAAUUCUUUAAAAACAAAAUGUUCAAUCUGCUAAAGCUUCAAUCUUUACAUAGCAUUGGAGAGUAAAGGGUUUGGGGA
rnacentral:lncRNA from 1 species